UCUGGCAACAUCCUCUAUUUCA
rnacentral:miRNA from 1 species